rnacentral:rRNA from 1 species
CCCUUAGAUGUCCUGGGCCGCACGCGCGUUACACUGAUGCAUUCAACGAGCUUAUAACCUUGGCCGAGAGGCCUGGGCAAUCUUGUUAACGUGCAUCGUGAUAGGGAUAGAUUAUUGAAAUUAUUAAUCUUGAACGAGGAAUUCCUAGUAACCGCAGAUCAUCAAUCUGCAUUGAUUACGUCCCUGCCCUUUGUACACACCGCCCGUCGCACCUACCGAUUGGAUGGUCCGGUGAAGCCUCGGGAUUGUGGUUCUUGCCGCUUUAUUGUGGCGUGACCGCGAGAACUUGUCUAAACCUUAUCAUCUAGAGGAAGGUGAAGUCGUAACA